UCUGCCAUAACCCAAAGCCAAAACCCAAAUUGCUUCUCACUCUUUGCCUGCCCAAACCCCAAAUUGCGCCUCCAUCUCCGGCCUAUCCGUGUCUCCCGUCCUUUCGAUGUCCUCCAUGUUCUAACCCUAAUUUUUAUUUCUUUUGAAUUUCCCAAUACAAUAAGAUAUUCAAAAGUUGUGAUAAUUCCGUGACAGAGGAGAUUCGAGUUUAGGGAAGCAAGUCCUUGUUGUGGUUACGAUUGCUUCGUUUUCACUGAAUAAAGUGAUAGAUUUGGCUCGGGUUAAAGCCGAACGGAGAGCUAAAGAAGUUAUUCUGGCCAGGGAGAGAGCUAAGGACGCGUUGGAGUGAUUUUUUGCCCUGACCUCCAAGAUUGAUGAAUUGAUUGACACAUCCAAAAUUGAACCUUUGGCAGAAAAAUUAACUCAAACUUGCCAAAUUGGGGAUGGAGAAGGACGAAAGGAUGAUGAUGAUCUGCUGCAUAAUGGUAUGCACUCUUUGUGAGUUAAUAUACUCUUUAUUUUUUUUAUGUUAUGUGGAAUGGCUUGAACUUUCAGAAUUUAUGUAGAUUAUAUGGUCAGAAUUUUUAGUUCUAGUAUUGAUCAGUUAAUUUGUAUUUGUAGUAUUGACCAAUUGAUUUGUAUUUGUGAUACUAUAGCUCGAUUUUUAAUUAUGAGUUCAGUUUCAAUUUUUAACACAAAUCAGCAACACAAUUGACAUCAGAAUCACAAUGAAUGUGAUUGGUACAGUCGUCCUGGUCGUUGGCCACAUGAGAAUGGCAACGACUUGCUAAAACUCAUCUUUUAAUCUCUAUAAUCAUCCUCUCUAAUAAGCAGACAUCAUAUUUUUUUAUUUUUAGUCAGAUCUAACACCUUUUGUACAACUUCAAUUGCCUCAAACGAAGGCAUCAAAUAGUUUUCAAAAUAAUAAAGCAAAUGUCCCAAAUGCAUAAGCAUGAACUAUCCUGAAUAAAAUAUAUAAGAUGUGCACAUAUCAGAAGGAAAAUUUAAAGUCUGAGUAGAAAUGAAUUUGCUUAACUCAGCAACAACUAAUACAUUGUAGUUUAUUCUAUACAUUUUAAACUGAAGUGGAUAUGCUUGGGUUUUAGUAUUAUUGAUUGCCAAUAAUUGUAGAAUGUAUAUGCUGCAAAUAUUCUAGAUGCUAUAAAAUAGUGAAAAUUAGUGAUGAAGUACAACAUACUUGUUACAAAACCAACUUGGAACAGAUUUUAAUGACUGAUAGUUAAUGUGUAAACUAGGGAUGACAGAUUUUAAUCGUAAAACCAUAUAUAGUUUGGGAUUGGUAGUGGGAUUUACCUUUAGGUCACCCGUUACAACUUACAUGCUACUCGUUUAGUAGGUACAAUUUUAUAAUUUAUAAUUUGUCAUAUAAUGUGCACAUAUACAAUGUUAAAUCUCAAACUUGUGAACUCUUAAUAGUUAAUAGAGAAGCUCUAAAUAAAUCACAAUUUAUUUAAAUGUAUAUUUAUAUAGAAUAUCAUACUGUAUUAUAUAUUUUAUGUUGCAUUAUACUAUAAAUGGGUAUAGAAUGCCUCGGCUUAAUGGAUUAGAGGGACGGGAAUGGGUAGCAAAAUAAAUUGUAGCUACGUUUAGAUAGGGCAAUAAUUAAAGACAUGAAUAAUUUAAAAUCAGAGUAAAGUGAAUGAAUAAUUUCAAAAGCAAUGAAGUAGGUUAUUUAAGUUUCUCUAGCUCUUCUCAAUUAAUAUUUUUGUUGUGGAUGAAUAGAUAUAUUUCCAAUGCUCUUUCUUUUUGAUGCUCAUAUAUGAAUAUGGGUACAGUAUGAUAGUAUUUUCUUUCAUAACUAUGGUAGAUUUUGAAAUCCAAUUAAUUUGUUGCAGCUAAUUUAUAUCAUGUAGAGUAGUAGUAUAAGAUUUUUUUUAUAUGCCAAUUAAGAUGUAUAUCUACGUUACUAAAAUCUUACUGAUAUGAGUUUUUUUAGAAUCACCACUUGUGUCAUGAAAUUUUUUAAAAGAUGUACAACAUGAUAGAACUCGAUUACGUAGAGGUUCAUUGACAUAGCAGUUGGAUCAACCAGGUUUUAGUCCUGACUCCACAAGAAUGAGUUUGUUAUUUACUUCUUUAGAGAUGCGGGACCUGAGAAUGAUUGGAUCUCUUGUGAAUUCUUUGACAAUUCUAGAAACAUCUUAUGUUACUGCAUUUGCAAGAGAUUUUCAGUUUAGCCAACCAAUAUUUACAGUUUCAAUUUCUAAUUGAUGAUUAUUUCAUCAUUAACUAAUGUGUAUUCUGUAAUGACCGAGAAAUUCGGAUUUAUUAUAAAAUAAUUUUAUUUAAUUAAAUAAUGAAUAAAAUUAUAUUAUAUGUUAUUAUUAUGUGUUAGCAAGAUGCAUGGCAUUCUAUAACCUAGAUAUGUCAGAACGUCGUAGUAGUUUGGCUACGUGAGGGAAUUAAAGUGUUUGAAUUUCCAAGACGAAAAUAAAAGUUUUUCGAGAAAUUUCUGAAAAACACUAUUCACGCAGUUCUGCUCGAGAAUUAUUUUUGAACUUCCGAGAAAUACGUAAUGAUAGAAUAUCAAGGGAAGAUGGUUUAUGUAAUAAUAAUUCACGUAUGGAAAAUGUAGUUUUUCGCCUGCGGACUUAAUUUGAGAACAUUAGGAAAAGUGAAACGUUAAUGAGUUAAUGGAUGAUCGUAUGAUACGUAAGUAUUGUACGAAGUAAGGAAUACUAGUAUGAUACGAGGUAUUAUACGAGAAUGUAUGAAUGAUGGUAUGUCGUAUAUGUGGUAUAAGUAUACAAGUUAGAAUACGAGAUUAAUACUUAUACAAUACGUUCUAAGGCUCUAAGCCGUAUGUAAUGGACUAGUAGAAUUGUGUAGGAAGUUGUAAAGUCCAAUUGGGAUUAUGAUAAAUCCCAAUGCUAAUCUAUGUUAAGGCCCAAGUGUUUGUUGAAGGAAAGCCCAAAUCAUAUGUUAUGUUAAUUAAACCUAAAGCCCAAACUAAGAAUCCAAUGGGUAAGCAUGACCCAUGGGGCAACCCAUGUGGGCCUCAUAAUCACAUGGGUGAUCUUGGUGCCAAGUAAGAGUUAUGAUGGCCAAGCAAAGGAUGUGAUGAGCAAGUAAAUUUAAUGGCUAAGUAAUGACUAGUAAGGAGGUUUAGUAAGGAGGUGGGGUGGCUUAUUAACCAUUAUGCCCUAACCUUGGAAAUCCUAUAAAUAGAGAGCUAGAUUAUUCAUUUGUCAUUUGUUAUUCCACCAACAAACAAUUAAGUGCUUAUUGGUUAGAGAGAAAAAGCUAGAAAGCUAGAAAAGUUAGUCUUUUAUAGUUGAAGAAGAAAAUCAAGUGAUCAUCAAAGGUAAUGAUCCUACAAUAUUAAUCUUCCAUCUCUUCAAAUGUAGGUUGAUAAAAGAAGUAUUGAUUGAUAGAGAUGUAUGCUAAGAAGUAAUAAGAAUGGCUAAACAAAGGACUUAAAUCAUAAUAAGCCAUGAAUAAGUAGUCCAUACCUAUAUAAGUUAUAAACUUAUAAAGAACUAAUAAGAACUUAUCAUGUAUAUAAGUUAAUGAAUUAUGUAUGUUAAGAUGUUAGUAUAAUGGAAUGAAUCCAUUUGAAACAAUGAACAAAUCCUAAGUAACGAAGUUAUGCCGGAAUUCACACGAUUAAACGAUAAUCAUCGAAAUCGUAAAAUUCUCAGAAAGGAAGUCGAAUUUUGACAUUGAGCUCGAAAACAUUGGUUUUCGAUGGGGACAAGUCUUAUUUGGCAUUAUAGAGUUGCGGACUCGAAAUGACUUAAUUCCGACUUAGAACGAAGAAACGAGCGUUGAACGUUCACGAACGUUUAUCGUUUUCAUUAAAAAUGAACUCAAAGUUAAUUCCGAGUUAACGGAUUCAAAAAUGUAAAAUUCUUGCAUGAACACUUAGAGUAUGUGAUUUAUGAGCUAAUGGCUUUUGAAUGAGCCAAUUCGGACUUGAAAUGAACAAUUUGUGAGUCCGGGAAGUUCACUAAGUAGAAAAUCUGUCAAGACUAUCUGGUGCACAAAGCUGGCGCUGCGGUGCCAGCACAAGGCCAAAUAGGUGGCGCUGUAGCGCCAAGCAAUGCCAUUACCUACUGGAGUUUCGCGCCGUAACGCGGCUAACUGAACUAAGACUAGCGCCGCAGUGCCGAGUCCGGACCUUAGCUGCUGAAAAGUGGCGCCGUAGCGCGGUUUAAAGAGUAGAAGAUGGCGCCGCAACGCCAACACUAUGCAAGACCUAGACAUGAAUGCUUUUGAAUAUAAAAAGAAGGAGGUAAUUGAUUAAUGGACAUUUACAUCCUUAAAUAACUUAAUGUAAUAUCAAUUAGGAUGUUGUAAACCUUAAGUAAUACACUAAAGGUUGAAGAUAACUCGAAUGUGAACAUAAGAACAAGGUAAUGUGAUAAACUUGAACCAAUGUUAAACAAUCUAAGGACCAAUUAGAUUCAGAAGAAGGGUAAGAUACAUUAGGAACUAUGCAUGUUUGUUCAUAACCUAAUGUGGUAUGUUAUGUGAUUAUAUAUUGUAGAGACCUUAAAGACUCAAAGAGAAUUUGUAUUGACUGUAGAAGACGCUAAAGGCAAGUAUUCUGACCCUUGUCUGAAUUCUUUGGAAAAGCUUUGUAAUUCAUGUACCUUACGCAUGAAUUGAUGCAUGAUGAAGUCAAAGCCAAUUCAUUCGGCUAGACUUAAGAUGUUUUACGGAUUUCUUAUAAUCUAUUAAUGUUGGUAAGUUUUGCCAAACUGUGUGGUUUUCAAAAUAAUACUGAGUAUGCAUGAAUAAAAGUUUUGUCGUCAAACGACAGGCACGUGAGGUUGCCAAACCUUAAACGUACAUACAUUUAAAGAAAUUAGUGUUGAUCACCAUAGAGUACUAUAGGCUGAUCACCUAGACGUGCUUGUAAGAUAUGCAGGACUUACGGACUUGGUGUCGGGUUGUCCUUUUUAAAGAAAGUAUGAAAUGCUCAAGGUCUUGGACCGAGUUAUAUGUUUAAUGAAUGCUAUUCAUUGUGAAACGUUUUGAAAGAAAAGAAGUGCUAUUUUGAAUUAUCGAUAGUACUUCGUAACUAUUGUUCAGUUAUUGAAGAUAUACGAUUCCUAUGUUUCAAGCAUGCUGUUUAAUGAAAUUGUCAUACAUGAUGAGCUAGUUAUGCUCAUUCUUGCUUGAACCAUAUGAAUGCAGCUAAGACCGAACAGACUGAAGGACCUAGUAAGGAUAAAGGGAAGGAUAAUGCAUACCGUUGAAUUGUUUAUGUAAUAGUAUAGGUUUAAUGUUGUAAUGUAUAUGAUAUUAUGACAAAGAACAAAUGUAAUGGUUAUAAAGAACCUGGG
rnacentral:lncRNA from 1 species